AGGAAAUGUAGGUAAUUAGCAGGGCAUAGAAGGACACACUUUAUUACUGCUUGUUUUCAUAAAAAAUGGAUUUCUUGAUAGGAUGGAUAAAAUUGUUAUUGUGUUAUGUUCCUGAUAUACCAGAUAGCUACAUUCUUGUAAUUGGUUUAAGUCUUUUGUAUUUAGUCAGCUACAAUAACAGACACACACACAAAAUUAGCAAUUUUUGCUGAGAACACUUGUCAUUCAAGAAAAGAAAAUGAGGUCAGCUGAGCUAUACCAGUCGGUGAACUAACAUGAACUGCCACCAGAUGAAGAUAUGUCCCAUUCUUAUCUGAUGCCCAGUAUUAGAUGCAGCUCCCUCCUUACCCUCAUGGAUGAAUGCAGCUUGGCCACUGGUGCAGAGAGUGUCCAGUUGCAUCGUCCAUCUGAUCUGAUAUACAUAUUGAUUUCCACCUACUCCUUUGUCUCCGCCAUCCAUUUUAGUUUCACUACCUUAAACAGGGCCCACCAAAGGUACAUUCUGGUGCCUAUCUUCUACUCAUUUACAUAAGAAUUACAAUUCCAGCUGUUUUUAUUCUUUAUUUCAUCUGUUUUCCCCUCUACCACAUUGAACUAUUUAGUUACCAUCAUGUUAUAGGGAAAAUAUUUUUCAUGAACUGGAGGCCUAUACUAAAAAAAAACAAAAAACAGCUAUGACUACAGACAUAAACUAAUAGACUUCCACACAACUUGAGUUCUAGCGUUGUCUCCCUUUUUUACCAGAGACCAUGUGCUCAUGAAACAGUACACUGAAAUACAUACUGACUGAAUAAUAUGCUGCAAGGAAAUGUAUCAUCAGAUAUUUUGGCUGAAAUUUCCUUUUAUUUAUUUCUGAUGUCAAUAUAUGAUGACUAUACUAAAGCCUCACUGUUCUUCUCUGUCAUGCUCUAGUUUCUUUAAUUUGUUCUUUUUUAUUACUAUGAAGUUUUAAUUUAUUCUUUUUUUUUCUUACCAGUACCAUUUCAACCUAUCAAAAAGCCUCUGCCUAUAUCCAGUGGUCUCUUAGCAGCAGUGAGAAAUGGGAAGAGCUUUGCUUGUCUAGUUUAGCAAAGAUGAGAUCCAGAGAUGACUUGAUUAUGGUACAUAAGUAUCUGCAUAGUGUGGAAAUACUAGGUAUUAAAGUGUGCUUUAACUCAGCAGGAAAAGGCAUAAAGAGAACCAAUGGCAUAAAGGCAUAACAAGUUAAAACACAGCAAAUUCAACCGUAAAAAAACAAUAGGAGUGAAAGCGCCUCAUAUACUUUGAAACGGACUACCAAGGGGAAGUGGUGGAUUUUUCAUCUCUUGAAGUCUUCAGAUCAAGAUUUCAUGCCUUUCUGGAAGAUAUGUUUUAGUCAAAUGUGAUCUACUGGUCUUUUUACAGAGAUAACUGUGAAGCGUAUAGCCUGCUUUAUAUAAGAGAUCAGGCCUUAAAAUCUCUGAAGCAUAGUUUGGUUUUCCUAAGAUGCUUUUAAGACCAGUUAGGCUAGUUACUUCCCUUAUGUCAAGUGGCAUGGUUCCUUUGAUAAAGAACAUCUUAUUUCAGAUGUUCCCAUGUGGUUGUUCAGUUUUGCUUUGCUAUGUCUUAUGUAUUACACUGAGGUGCUCUGUGAUGUUUUGGGUAGGCUAUCACAUGGCUGAGUUACUCACUGAGAAGCAAUGUAAUUAAUAAUGGUAAAUCAAAUCUCACCUAAUCUAAAAGCAUUGCUGAUUAUGUGCUUAUCAUCAUGGUUCACUGAUCUUAUCAGGUGCAAGUUGCAUCUUCUGAGAGUGGAGGGAAGAAAAAGACAUGUAAUUCCUGCUGAUAAAAGUGCCAGUAGCAGUUAGGUUUGCGCAAUAUUAUUUUGGAAAACAAACUUUCCAGGGGCUUAUUGUUGUUAUAGUUUAUUAAUGUAUGUAUGCCACUCUAUACAUGCAUGUGGGGUUUUUACAGACAAAUAAAAUGUCUAAGGAGUUUACACUCAAAGGCCCUGAUUCUGCAACAAAGCAUAACCUUAUGCUCACAAUGAAGUCCAUUAAGCAGCAGCUGGUUGAAGGCGUCCAUCUGAACAGACUGAUUGCACGAUUGCAUGUUCAGAGCCUACACGAGACACUGCACAGUAAAUGUCAACCAGCAAAGGGAAUGGGGAAGAAUUAUGGUAGUGACAGUGAGGCUAUGGACAGACAUUACACAUAAACUGGUUCAAGUGAUCAGAAACUGGUUUAAACCUGUAACAGAACAAAUGUUCAAUGCACGCAAACUGGUUUGAAAAUGGGUGAAACCAGUUUGAGAUAAACCUGGUUGAAUGUGGUAUCACACUUAACUGAUUUGGGUCAAACUGGCUUAUGUAAUGCCUGUCCCAGACCCCUUCCUGGUUUAAGUUAAACUAGACUCCUCCAGCAUCCCGGCAUGCCCUCUGGGCUAGGUGGGGCUCUCUGCUCCACAGCAGAUCUGGCCCCUCCCCUUUGCUCUCUGGCUGGAGCUGCAGCAGAGACUGCAGGCUUCUGCAUGGCUUUUCCCUGCUCCCUUCACUCCCCUCACCACUCCCUGCUAAGCAAGGAUCUCCCCCCUCCCCUCUGCCUUACACAGAAAACUCUCAGCAUUAGCUAGCAUACCACAUGCUGGCUAUGGUCUGUGCUGUGGCAAGUAGGACAAAGGCAGACAGGACUGUGCUGCUUAGGGCUCUUUGGAGCUAAUCAACAGGUGAUACAUAACUCCCAGCUGGCUCCUUUGCUGACCAGCAAGGCGGGGAACCCCUCCCUAAUCAGAGCAUCCUGCUGGGGCUGGCCAUACCUCCUCUUCAGCUCAGCACUGUAGAAGGGAAGGGAGGGCUGCUCGAGUACCCCCUGGCAUUUUUUCAGUCCAGGGGGGAUGUCUGUACAGUUACAAACUGAUUCUGCCUAGCCAGGUUAAACUAACCUGCAAAGAUUGAAUCAAUUCAGGCUCAGGCUUUUUGAAUAUCUGUCCGUAGCCUGAGACAUCAGGAGUGGAGCUCAAGUGCAGGCAGGUAUCCUGCUGUCUGCUUCUUUAAAGCACUUGUUAAUAUAGAGUCAGUGGAAAUGGAAUAACUAUAUUGAUGUAAUAUAUUACCUCACAGUGGUCUGUGGUGGCUGGAGGGAAGGCUGGAGUGGAGGCCAUGAGUGGAAGGCUGAAUGAAUGAAAGGAGCCUAGAAAAGCAAUAUAAUUUUUCCUUAGAUAAUUAAGGAUAUUAAAAAAAACCAAGACAACAAUCCCCCUCCCCCAAAACCAAGCCGCUAAGGCUUGCUGAUUUGCUAUGGCAAAGAAACUUAACGAAGAAAUGGACCAAAUUAAGCAUCAUCAAGAAAAAUAAACACCAAAUACAUCAACAUUUUCUGUUUUCAUUUGUUGUGCAUAAUGUCAGACAGAGGGAAUUUGCUUGGUCAACAGAUGAAGGUGUUGGCACAGCUAUGAUUAAUUUGUUCUGUUGCCAGCUGCUGGCAAUAUUUGUCUAAUUGUAGCUGUGCAAUUUUACCUACAUGUCAAGGUCAGGAUUCAAUAGCAAUUUUUAAUUAAAUUAAGAAGAUAAGAGCAUUAAAUAAAGUAUAAUUUAAAGGCAACUUUGUGAGACAUAUUGAAGCAUUCCAAGUAAUGAUAAAUUUUGUGGGGAGAUGGUACAGAAUUUGCAUGACUUGCAUGACAGAAGUUGUAUGACUUCUUUUAAAUAUAUUAUUGAUGCAGAAUUAUAUGACUAAAAGCACAGAGGACUUGAACUGUAUAAAGCUCUUGCAGAAAACAUACAUUUGGGUACAGAAGAAAUGAUAGCUAGAUUAGAUCAUAUACACUCACAAAUCCCUUGCUGGAGAAGUUAUGAGCCUACAUAUAAGAACAUGACAUUUCUCAUACUGAUGUACAUCUGUGUGAUUCUUUAAAAAUAUGACAAGGGUGAUUCACUAGGCCUUGAUAGUCCACAGUCAAAUAAAUUUCUGUGUACGAACCAGAUGUUUGCUCAGCUUUUUCAGCAAAUCUUAAACCAGAUUUGAAAGCUGUCAGACGACACACAGUAGAAUGUUUUUCCUCUCACUUUAUAAAUUUACAUUUAUCUCCUUCAAGGAAUUGUGCUUUUUCUGCUUUGCGUAGUGAAAUGAGCAAACAGCACUGCUGCCGUGAUACAAAAUGCAAUGAAGAACAGUUUGAGCCUAAAGAAUAAUAGUGCUUCUCAAAUUUUUGAUGCCAGCCUGGCAGGGGAUUGUGAGAUUGUAAGCUUGCCCAUACCUAAGAGUUUUGGCUUGAUAUUCUGUAUUGAUCUUGUUACCUCAAUUUGAUUAAAUAGAUAUUGUGCAUAUUGAAUGUGCUCCAUAGCAGCCCAUAUCGCAUUACAAACAUGUGUUUGCAGCGUGCUGUGUCACAGCAAUUGUAGCACUUUGCACUAUGGUCUAGAGUUCUUGGAUUGCCUCCAGGUUCUCUUCAUUCUGAAUUUUUUACCUUCUGACAGGUCAUGGGAUGCCUCCUAGAGUCCAGAGAUAUUGUAGAAAGAAGGAGCAAAGUCCCAACUUACUGUCCUGAGUCCAGGCUCUUCCAGGAGAGGCUCCAAUAAGACUACGGCAAAGAAUAAUCCUCAUCUUCCUUUGGAUACAGGAAGCCAGAAAUCAUCUAUUACACAACUAUUACACCAAAUACUAAGCCAGGGAGCCACAUCACAUUUUCACAAUAGAACUGAAACCGGGCUCCGCUUCCCUAACUUUUGGCUUUCGUUCCAAAUGCAAAAGACGAGUUUAUUGACAUCCACAGACUUUGAUCCAUCCAACCAAGCCCCCACUGCUGAAGUAUCCAAGCACCCCAGCAUUUUUACCUUCCCCACAGCGUUAUCCCAUUAUCAUUAUCUUUCCUAUUAUACAAGCUAAGCAAAGCAACUAACUCAAGUUAACACAGGAAAUCUGUUGCAGAGAAGGGAGUUGAAUCCAAAUCUCCUGAAGCUCAGGGUGACACCCCUAGACUUUGUUUCUUCUAUAUGCCUAGGCUUGCUGGUUUUGCCAAAGUUUUUCUCUAAGGUAUAUCUAUUUAAAUCUCAAAGGAAAAUGAUGGGGCUGGAGAUCCAUAGGAAUUGAAAUGUGCAAAGAAAAUCACCCCUUCCUCCUGCAAAAGGUAUCAAGUAAAAGGUUCCUCAUUUCCUGAGUCCAAAGAGGAAAUAGCCUGAAAAGGCAAAGAAGCUGUUCAGUUUCCCUAGUCACAGAAUUAAAAUGCUUCCUAAAUUCAGUAUUUUACAGAUACGCUCUUUGCUCCUUCUCUCCUUGAAAUGCAAAGGGAAGAGAUAUUCAGGGAGCUCUGUGUAUUUUUCCUGGCUGAGCUUAAAGCAGAAUGCUUGGGAAAGAUCACUUUACAGAAGUAAAAAUGGCAGGUCAUGGACACCUAGGCAAUAAAUCUUUCCUCAUCCCAGAGCUAUAAGACAAGCAGAUGGAGCACCUGUAACAUAACCAACGUGGUUAUUUUGCAUUGGACUAGACUGCCCCAAGUACAAUCUCUGCCACAACCACCCGGUCUGUAGAGCAAGUAUGCAGCACUGCAUACUGGAGAGGGCAGUCAGAUCCCAGGGCAUGGGUUUGUGGCUGAUUUGGGGCACUGGGAGUGCUACCUUGGAGUACUCCAAAAUGGAGGGAUCACUAUUGUACUUGGGGUCUUGGGUGAAGAGCCCAAGGGAAAUGAAAAGGCUCCAAGGUCUUGGCAGAACCUGUUCCUAUGUUUAGUACAAUCAAACCUCUUUAGCUGUCUCUUUGUUUUAGAACAGGCAGGCUGGUUCUUCUAUUUUCUUCUUCCUAAUGGAAAGAAAAUAACAUUCUGCUCCUGCACCUGGCUCCGCGCCCCCGACAGCAUAGAUCUCAUGAAGAACCGGGGCCUAAGGGUCAAGCAGACAUCAGGGUGAUCUGCAUAAGGCUCCUUUCUAGAGCAAACUCCCAAACAUAUGACAGUGUUCAGAUCUAGAGGGCCAGGGGAUGGUCUCUAAUAGGAAGAUGUGCUCACUGGCUCCAUUUCUGUACAUAGUACUCUCAGACCCACCUUUCUACAGAAACUCCAGAGGCAUCACUGCAGCUCAUGUCGGCUUAGUCAAGCCAGCUUUAAAUUAGCCAGUUUGGGUACUGAUAACACUGUAGUCAUAGCAGUGAAAGCUUCAAAUCAGGGUGAAAAACCCACACGCAAACAAGCCUGAGUAAAUGUAGCCAGCACUUUCUGGCAUACUGCACUUCAUUCUGCUGAGGCUAUAUUCCUACUUCCUCCUGACAACCGAUUUAAAGUUUACUAAACAUGCAUUUUUGGGAGUUGUACCUUUAAAUUAGGCAGAUUGACACAACUGUAUCCCUAAAGCAGCCAGUUUUGAUCUACAUCUCUCCAGCUGAGGUUGUCUGAUCUCCUGCAUCGGGCUUUAAAUUCAGUUUGACGGGGACGGGGAGGCAUAGAGAGAAUCUAGGACCUACAACCUAUGAGACAUGCAACAGAACAUCCCAUAUCACAAAACGCUUAGACGCAGGAGUAGACGUGGAUGUCGUUUACUUGGAUUUUAUGAAGGCCUUCGAUACGAACCCCUACCUCUGUCUACGUGGGCUGCAUGAACGGAUGUGGAGCCAGGUGACCUGGCCCGGUAACAGCAUCACAGCACCUCCCAGUCCACUGCAUCAUUACCCCCAGUCUUGGUGGAAGCUCUGAUGCCCUAUCAUGGCACCCAGGGGAUACACAGGACAUCGUUUGAAAACCACUGCUCUAGGUCAUUUGAAAAAAGAGGGAGCUUGCACACCUGUUGCAGGAAGAAUACCUAGGGAAUACAUAUUGUCCGUAUAAAAGCUUCUAAUUAUUCCCUGCCUCAGCCCAGUGUUCAAUUUGAAAACAGUGCUGGUAAUUUGUAUCCCAAGAACUUUGAACUUCUGUCUUUUCUUUCCAAACCAGGGCCAUGCUCUGUCAGGGUUUCAUCCCCUGGGACUGUGAACUGAAUGAGGACCCGUAACAGGAGAAGGCAGUAGAUUUCAAGUAUGUGACUCAUAAGAUUGGGUGGAAAAAUGUCCAUUUCUUCUUGACUUCUAAAUGAUGUUUCCAUCAGAUGGAGAGAGGAGCUGGAGGAAACGCACCACAUUGGCUGCUGAAUGCUAGACUGUACACCAGACUAGGAUGUGGGAAGGCAUGCUGUGUUUCUUGUUCUGCUUUCAUACCUAUAUGUAUUUACCAGGGGACCCAAAUCCAUCACCUUUCUUUAUAUAACCUAGUAUCUGACAGUUUCCAAUGGGACUAUGUAAGGGUGGUUGCAAAGUAUAGGGCUGAGCCCUAUUUGUUCUGAAGGUACCAUGAGGUUGUAGAGAUUCAUGAACAGAAAAUAGUGGAUGGGCUGAAGCAAAGCACAUCUAAUGUGUAGCAACUCCUGUAGAAGGAAAAAAACCCUAAAUGAGGGUGUUUAAAAAGGUUGCGUGGCCACUAGCUUGUGUAUCAGGAGAUCUGAGCUCUCUCCCCAGCAAUGCCUGUCACCUCGUGUAGGUCCCUUCACCUCUCACCUUUUGUCUGUCUAUUUACACUUUGAACUGUCUGAGGGAGACACUGUAUCUUUAUGUACCACACUUUUUACAGAGUGCUUAAAAUAUUGCUAGGGCCUUGAGGCAAUACUGUAAUGCAAAUAAUAAUGAGGAUAUGAAGGGCAGAUGGUUUUGGACCACAGGCCUGUUCUAAAAAAUGUUCAGUGCCUUUUAUGCCCCUCUAUUUUCAGAACAUGUUAAAGAGAAGGGGUACUUUAAAAGUCCAGCCACUUCCACAGGCUUCAGAAAUAGACACAGCAGAGGGUCAAGGGUUUAACAAGUAAAGAUUGGCUUAACACAGACAAUGAAGUCAGCAAUAUUCCUUACAAGAUUGACUGAUUAGCUGCAUAAACCUUAUUAUUUUUCAGCUAAAUGGUUUUAUAUCUAAUUUAUUAUCUGAUAAAGGGACAGCCUGAAAAGCAAUACUCUUUCCCAGUUAUUCAGCAUGCUGCUUGUGAUUCCCCCCCUCCCCACCCCUUUAUUUAUAUUGUAGUUAUGAUUCAAGCUGGUUGUUUGUCAUGGCCAAAAAUGGGAAGAUCAUGAUCUUGUCUUGGCAAAAAAAAUGCAAAAGACUUAGCUAUAGUUCAAAAGAAUGAGACAAAGUGAUGACAUGGAUUUUUAUUAAUGUCGAGUUGUUUGAGAGAAAGGAUAUUGCCUGAGGGUAGAGUUAUUUUUUUCUCACUUACAUCAUGGGGUAACACUAUCAGGGUCCGGGAUUUACACAGCUUAUAAGAAAGAGGCAAGUUUAGCCCGUGGGAGCUGGAUUUUGGCUGAUAAAGGCUCCCUAUAGGAACUUGGCUUCCAUAUUAUAAAAGUGGGUUUUCUUCCUCCCUUUUUCUAAAAGCCACAUCCAAAAGAGUAUAUAGGUGUUAAUCUCCCAAAGUUUUCAGUGGGACUUAGGAGGCUUUAUGGAUAUUGGCUUGAACUCCUUGGCUCAGAAAUGUUCCUUAUUGUGUUGGUACGGUGGCUGACUGUGACAGGGUGCUGUCACUUUAGGAGGAGAGGAGGUCUGAGAAGCAGCCUGCAGGUGUCAUGGGGGCUGCUUAGAGAUUUACGUGACUAGAAGGGGCCCAGGCUGAAGCCAUACAAGCACAGUGAUCGAGAGGGUCAAGCCCUGAGAGCCACUGGGCAAGAGCUCCUGGCAGCAGACUACAUUGACACCUGUGGGGCAUGGGGCAUGGUGUAGGGGUGGAUGGAGCCAUGCAGUUAGCCCUUAAGGCUAAAGGUGCCUUGGAGGGGUGCAGACAGGCUGAGAGGACCCAUGUAGCUUAUGUACCAAAUUCAGACUAGUGGGGUCUGGGAGGGACCUGUUAGCGACUUGAAUGGACUGAGGUUCACUCUAAAGCCCUGGGCAGCCUCCCUUACCUAAUCUUUAAUAAGAACAAGGCAUGGUGGACAAGCAAUCAAGGGAGGGUUACAUUGGAGACUGAGCUGGGCAGGAGCCAUACGGCCACCAGGGGGCAUCACGGCCUCCCCUGGGAGUCCGGUCCUGUCACACUGAAACUUUGUGGCCCAGAUUUCAGAGGCAACCUUAAUUCUGGCACUUCCUAUCUAUUGACUUCCUUGACUUUGCAACCUUAACUUUCUCUUUGUAGAUUUUGGAUGUUAUGGGGCAGUGUGGGGGAGGGAGGAUGUAAUUUAGUACUCUAGUAAUUUAUCCCCCCAGAUAUUACAUUAUUAGCCAUGUUUUACAGUGAAUAUUGAAAAUAUUCAGUCAUAUAAUAGGCUACACUCUGGGGAGAAUUACUGCAUUCUCCAUGUUUUCCUAAUUCUUCUACACUUGAUCUAAAGGAAAAGCUUGAAUGCAGCUCUGUAGGCCUAUGAUAGGCCUGACUAAGUGUGUGGACACACACGCAUUUGGAGCCAUUACAAAAGCGGAAAGUUUCUAAAGGGGAGGAGCUGUUACAUUGUAAUGGUUACAGUGUGAAGGAACCCAGAACGAUACAGGGCUGCUUACAGACGUGAAAAGACAAACGGACCAGCGCUUUACUUUAAGCUCGGCAUGCACCCGCACCAAGCACAGCACAUGCCCAGAGGAGGCACCAUGUUAGUUGGACAUGGCUUGCCCAAUGUUUGCAUAGAUUGGGCACUGCAGUGGGGCUUUCUGGUAAUUGAAUCGGCUAUUAGAUAAAAGUACGCGUGCGCACAUACGUGCACACACACACACACAUACACACACACACACUGGAUGGGGAAAGGUGAUUGCACUGGCAUGAGACUCACUACGGACAACACUGACUAAGGAGGUCCUUGAGACAGCUGAAUAGGCAACAUUGAGGAACAGGGUAUGCCUUAAAAUUUCAGCCUUUCUCAGGUUCAGGUACCUAAAUCCACUUGGGAUUCAGAGCCCUGAACUCUUAUGGAAUUGGGCACCUAAGCCAUUGCUUGGAAAGGUUGUGAUGCUGCCCCUCAUAAGAGACUGGUGGUUACUGCAGUCAUUAAGGAUAUGGCGGACACAGUUUUAAUUUCUUCCUGUCUGAGGAGGUUCAAAAUGACAUCGCUCUCAUCCCUGAAGAGUUUCUUGUUCCCUAGGUUAUAGGGUUUUCUGGACUGGAAGCACUCUCCACCCUUUUUGUUGAAGCUGUGCCACUUUACAGGGAAUAUUUAAAGAUUCAUUGAGUCAGAGUGAGCAUCCCUCUCUAACCUAGGGGGUAGGAUAUUUAUUUGGGGGCAAGGGGAGGGGGUUGAAUUGUCGUUCCAAGGUCUGAUUGUACAUUUUUCAUAAACAGCAAUAGAAGAAUAUACAAAAUAGCCCUUGGUGCACAGCAAGCACUGCAUUGGGGAAUCAUGCCUCAUGAUCAGGGAUCUGAGUUUUCUGUUUCCCACGGAAAAAACGGAGUAAAAUGGAGAUUUUUCCCCAUUCAUAGAUUCAUAGAUGUUAGGGUCGGAAGGGACCUCAAUAGAUCAUCAAGUCCGACCCCCUGCAUAAGCAGGAAAGAGUGCUGGGUCUAAAUGACCCCAGCUAGAUACUCAUCUAACCUCCUCUUGAAGACCCCCAGGGUAGGGGAGAGCACCAUCUCCCUUGGGAGCCCGUUCCAGACCUUGGCCACUCGAACUGUGAAGAAGUUCUUCCUAAUGUCCAGUCUAAAUCUGCUGUCUGCCAGCUUGUGGCCAUUGUUUCUUGUAACCCCCGGGGGCGCCUUGGUGAAUAAAUCCUCACCAAUUCCCUUCUGUGCCCCCGUGAUGAACUUAUAGGCAGCCACAAGGUCGCCCCUCAACCUUCUCUUGCGGAGGCUGAAAAGGU